rnacentral:rRNA from 1 species
GACGAACGCUGGCGGCGUGCUUAACACAUGCAAGUCGAACGGAAAGGCCCUGCUUGCAGGGUACUCGCGUGGCGAACGGGUGAGUAACACGCGGGUGAUCUGCCCUGCACUUCGGGAUAAGCCUGUGCAACUGGGUCUAAUACCGGCUAGGAGACAUUUUUAGUGUGAUGGUUGGAAAGUUUUUCGGGGGUAUGCUGAGCUCGCGGCCUAUCAGCUUGUUGGUGGGGUAAUGGCGUACCAAGGCGGCGACGGGUAGCCGCCCUGUGAGGCUGGACGGCCACAUUGGGUCUGAGAGACGGCCGAGACUGCUACUGGAGGCAGCAGUGGGGAAGAUUGCACAAUGGGCGCAAGCCUGAUGCAGCGACGCCGCGGGGGGGAUGACGGCCUUCGUGUGGUAGACUCCAUUCGCUAGGGACGAAGCUUGUUGUGACGGUACCUAGAUAAGAAGCACCGGCUAACUACGUG